UCAUGUUACAGCUCUUUUAGAAUUUGUCUAGCAGGUUUAACUGUUUGUACCCAGAAAUGCCUCC
rnacentral:snRNA from 1 species